rnacentral:rRNA from 1 species
UACGAAGGGUGCAAGCGUUACUCGGAAUUACUGGGCGUAAAGCGUGCGUAGGCGGUUUGUUAAGUCCGCUGUGAAAGCCCUGGGCUCAACCUGGGAAUUGCAGUGGAUACUGGCAAGCUAGAGUGCGGUAGAGGAUGGUGGAAUUCCCGGUGUAGCGGUGAAAUGCGUAGAGAUCGGGAGGAACACCCGUGGCGAAGGCGGCCAUCUGGGCCGAUACUGACGCUGAGGAGCGAAAGCGUGGGGAGCGAACAGG